rnacentral:lncRNA from 1 species
CUUAGAGAAAGCCUGUUUUGAACGUCUCUAACAGAAAGCAUAGCUGCGCAUAGAACGUAAGGGCAGAAAUUGGUGUCAGGGAGAAACCAUACAGGUAACUGAGGCCCUCAGAUACUCAGGAAUAGGGGGUGCUGGUGACUCCCAGAAGAGAGAAGAAUGCAGCUGCUUUUGAUAAGAACUAAGUACAUGUUGGGAGAGGAAGACUCAGUCUUAAGGAUGAGGGAAUUGGGAAUGUGGACCUGGCUAGUGGUCAUCUUUCUGUAACUCCAGUGGCAGUUAAACUGCUUCAACGGGUCUUCAAGAUGCAAAAGGUGGGCAUAGUGAAACAUGCUGUGCUGCCCUAAGAGACCUGCUAGCACUUGUGUUUGGGACCUGCACUGGGAUGGCUUUCUCUGCUUUGACCAAGACCAACUGUUUGUUCCGGACACAGCCAGCUGAGACAAGAACCUAGCAUAACUGUCCUCUGAGAGGCUCUACCCAGCAGCCAGUGGAAAGAGAUGCAGAGACCCACAGCCAAACAUUAGAUGGAUUUUGAACAGUCAUAUGGAAGAGCUGAGAGAAGGAUAGAGGAACCUGAAGAGGACAGGGACUCCACAGGAAGACCAACAGAGUCAACUAACCUGGACCCUUGGGGGCUCCCAGAGACUCAAUCACCAAUCAAAGAUCGAGCAUGGGCUGGACCAAAGUGUCCCCUCCAACCCCGCCUCCACAUAUGUAGCAGAAGAGUAGCUUGGUCCCAACAACAGGAGUGAAGGGCUUUCUGAAUCGAUUGCCUGCCUACCUGCCUGUGGAUCCUGUUCCCCUAAAUGGAUUGCUUUGUUUGGUCUCAGUGGGAGAGGAUGUGUUUAGUCCUGCAGUGACCUGAUGUGUGUUCUUGCCUCUGUGUGUGUGUGUGUGUGUGUGUGUGUGUGUGUGUGUGUGUAGCAUGGUGUUAUCUAGAGGGGGCUCCCUUCUCAAAGGAGAAGAGGAGGGAGGAACUGGGAGGGGAUGUUCUAUGAGAGGAGGUGUUGGGAGGAGAGGGGGAACUGAUAUUGAGAUACCCUGCCCUUUCUCUACAGGUGUUGACCUCAAGAAUUCUGUAACUAGCUUACUUUCUGUCACUCUUCAUCUCGGUCUGUUUCCCAGACAACCCGUCUG